AGUGAACGCUGGCGGUAGGCCUAACACAUGCAAGUCGAACGGCAGCACAGUAAGAGCUUGCUCUUACGGGUGGCGAGUGGCGGACGGGUGAGGAAUACAUCGGAAUCUACUUUUUCGUGGGGGAUAACGUAGGGAAACUUACGCUAAUACCGCAUACGACCUACGGGUGAAAGCAGGGGAUCUUCGGACCUUGCGCGAUUGAAUGAGCCGAUGUCGGAUUAGCUAGUUGGGGGUAAAGGCCCACCAAGGCGACGAUCCGUAGCUGGUCUGAGAGGAUGAUCAGCCACACUGGAACUGAGACACGGUCCAGACUCCUACGGGAGGCAGCAGUGGGGAAUAUUGGACAAUGGGCGCAAGCCUGAUCCAGCCAUACCGCGUGGGUGAAGAAGGCCUUCGGGUUGUAAAGCCCUUUUGUUGGGAAAGAAAAGCAGCAGGUUAAUACCCCGCUGUUCUGACGGUACCCAAAGAAUAAGCACCGGCUAACUUCGUG
rnacentral:rRNA from 1 species